AGCACGAGAAUCCGGUUUCGGCCGGUAGUUAAGUGGCGGACGGGUGAGUAACACGUGGAUAAUCUGCCCUUCGGCGGGGGACAACAGUCCGAAAGGAUUGCUAAUACCGCAUACGUCAGCGAGGUCUUCGGACCUUGUUGGGAAAGAUGGCCUCUCCAUGGAAGCUAUCACCGAAGGAUGAGUCCGCGGCCCAUCAGCUAGUUGGCGGGGUAAUGGCCCACCAAGGCUUAGACGGGUAGCUGGUCUGAGAGGAUGAUCAGCCACACUGGAACUGAGACACGGUCCAGACUCCUACGGGAGGCAGCAGUGGGGAAUAUUGGGCAAUGGGCGCAAGCCUGACCCAGCCAUGCCGCGUGAGUGAUGAAGGCCUUCGGGUCGUAAAGCUCUGUGGGGAGGGAAGAAACCGCUUGCCGAUAAUACCGGCGAGUCUUGACGGUACCUCCUUAGCAAGCACCGGCUAACUCCGUGCCAGCAGCCGCGGUAAUACGGAGGGU
rnacentral:rRNA from 1 species